AACAAAUGGCUGCCAACUGCAGAAUGACAACUUUGAAUUUGAACAAAAUUUCAAAACAAUCGUGCUUGAACCAACGAUGAAGUACCACCCCCCACCCCAGUUCCCUCACUUUUGACUUACUGAUUAUAGGCGUUGGACCAUUGAAUUGACAAGCUGGAGGGCACAUGGUGCUCGUGGCUGGAGGACGUUGAUUUAGUUGGGGUUGGACUUCGAGAACGAUAAGACUUACGAUUACAGUACAACGGUGGUGGUUCAGAGGUUUUUGACGAUGAGCAACCCACAACUGUAUGAGCCGGUGAUAUGCGUUGAAGACACUGAUGAUAGCACCAACCGUCUGGAAUUUCAGGUGAAGACGGAGGCUAUGGACGACUUGGUCGUCGACAAAUUAGAAUUUGUCAAGGAAGGAAUUACGGAGCAGCCGAUAAAUGAUGAAGAAAAUAGAGAAUUGUUGGACAUGUUGGACUUGAAGACUUGAAAAGGAUGACUAUCAUAAACAGCACAACUGAUGAUGUUGGUGAUAGCACCAAUAGUUGGAAACUCCUGGUAGGGACGGAGGUUAAGGACGACGUGUUCAUCGAAGAAUUAGAAAUUGUCAUACCAGAAAUUAAAGAUGAGUGGGUAAAUAAGGAUUUUAUUGAUAUAGAAAGUAGUAAAUUUGGAAAGAAGCCCAACGCUAGACAUAAUGGACUUGAAGACUUGAAAAACGUGACUGUCGUAGACAGUACAACUAACAAGGAGUCUUCCAUACAUUUUCCAAACACUAAAGGAAACAAAAAUAACAGAAAACUUUCACCACUUACUCCAGUUAAUAGUAAUAGAGUACUGAAAACUAAUAAGAAACGUCCCUUGAACAAAGGAGUUAAUCAAAAUAGUACAUCAAGAAAUGAUAGCAAGGGUUUAGAAGUGUUGACUGGAGGAUGGAAGUUAUAAAACUAUUGCAGAUACAAAUCUCAAGAGAAAAUCGUCACUGAAUUUUGCGAAGAAAAGCUACAUGUCUCUACACAAGAGAUCACAGGAGGCGAAAUUUGUUUAAUUAAUUUUUACAGUUAAUUAUGAUUAAAUGUUUAGUAUAUUAUAGAGAUAUAUAUUUUCAAGACUGAUGAACAUUAAAUUAGACUAGAAGAACAUAAUUUAUUUUGUUUAUUCUAAAAGUUAUUAAUAAUUUUAUAUGAAAAUGCAUAUUAUAUAUUUAAUGUGUUAAUGUAUUGUUUUAUUUAAAAUAAUAAAUAAAAACCGAAGUCAAUACAAAAUAAUAAAAACAUUCAGAACUCAAACUACAACGUAGGGCACAUUUAAAAUAGAAAAUCCAUUUUUGAAUAAAUACAAACAAAAAACAGCUUUAAAUAACCCUUCCAGGGGUUAAAAUUAUUAAUAUUACGACCAACGGGUUGAUUUCAUUUUUAUUUGAUCACACCUACC